GACGAACGCUGGCGGCGUGCCUAAUACAUGCAAGUAGAACGCACAGUUUAUACCGUAGCUUGCUACACCAUAGACUGUGAGUUGCGAACGGGUGAGUAACGCGUAGGUAACCUGCCUGGUAGCGGGGGAUAACUAUUGGAAACGAUAGCUAAUACCGCAUAAUAUUGAUUAUUGCAUGAUAAUUAAUUGAAAGGUGCAAUUGCACCACUACCAGAUGGACCUGCGUUGUAUUAGCUAGUAGGUGAGGUAACGGCUCACCUAGGCGACGAUACAUAGCCGACCUGAGAGGGUGAUCGGCCACACUGGGACUGAGACACGGCCCAGACUCCUACGGGAGGCAGCAGUAGGGAAUCUUCGGCAAUGGACGAAAGUCUGACCGAGCAACGCCGCGUGAGUGAAGAAGGUUUUCGGAUCGUAAAGCUCUGUUGUAAGAGAAGAACGGGUGUGAGAGUGGAAAGUUCACACUGUGACGGUAUCUUACCGGAAAGGGACGGCUAACUACGUG
rnacentral:rRNA from 1 species